rnacentral:lncRNA from 1 species
UUGCAUAUCAGGAUUAUCAAACAGUACAGAAAUUUUUUAAGGUAAAACAAAAAAUAACUCUCAAACUUCUAUCUCCUCUUGAAGAGCUCUCAAAGAUGCCUCUGAAUGAGAACUCUUGAUAAAACUACACAUCUUACAGAAGAAGUAACAGUUUGCGAUCCAUGUCCCCGCCUGACAUCGGUGAUGAGAAGCUGGUAUGAUGGACAUGACGAGGUGUAGUGUCAAGACUGGUCACAGAGCCCUCAGAGUUCACAGAGUCAGAAGGACUGUAAACUGUUUUAAAUCCAGUAAUCUGUCCCCCUUUGCCAUCCUUCACCUUAAGUGUCAGGCCGAGGUCCAGAUGUUCGGUAGAGCCAACGACGGUUUCCUGAUCAUCAUACACAGCACAUUCCUUCAUGCUCAUGCCAUAUUCAAUCGCUAAGCAAGGUUUCAAUCUCCUAGGGGCAGGGACCAGCACCUGCGCCCCCGAAAAAUCUCGGUCUC